GGGGGACGGAGAAGGCUAUGUUGGCCGGGCGACGGUUGUCCCGGUUUAAGGGGUAAGGUGUGUGUUCCAGGUAAAUCCGGUUCACUUUAACACUGAGGCGUGACACGAGGCACUACGGUGCUGAAGCAACAAAUGCCCUGCUUCCAGGAAAAGCCUCUAAGCAUCAGGUAACAUCAAAUCGUACCCCAAACCGACACAGGUGGUCAGGUAGAGAAUACCAAGGCGCUUGAGAGAACUCGGGUGAAGGAACUAGGCAAAAUGGUGCCGUAACUUCGGGAGAAGGCACGCUGACACGUAGGUGAAGUGAUUUACUCAUGGAGCUGAAGUCAGUCGAAGAUACCAGCUGGCUGCAACUGUUUAUUAAAAACACAGCACUGUGCAAACACGAAAGUGGACGUAUACGGUGUGACGCCUGCCCGGUGCCGGAAGGUUAAUUGAUGGGGUCAGCGCAAGCGAAGCUCCUGAUCGAAGCCCCGGUAAACGGCGGCCGUAACUAUAACGGUCCUAAGGUAGCGAAAUUCCUUGUCGGGUAAGUUCCGACCUGCACGAAUGGCGUAAUGAUGGCCAGGCUGUCUCCACCCGAGACUCAGUGAAAUUGAACUCGCUGUGAAGAUGCAGUGUACCCGCGGCAAGACGGAAAGACCCCGUGAACCUUUACUAUAGCUUGACACUGAACAUUGAGCCUUGAUGUGUAGGAUAGGUGGGAGGCUUUGAAGUGUGGACGCCAGUCUGCAUGGAGCCGACCUUGAAAUACCACCCUUUAAUGUUUGAUGUUCUAACGUGGACCCGUAAUCCGGGUUGCGGACAGUGUCUGGUGGGUAGUUUGACUGGGGCGGUCUCCUCCUAAAGAGUAACGGAGGAGCACGAAGGUUGGCUAAUCCUGGUCGGACAUCAGGAGGUUAGUGCAAUGGCAUAAGCCAGCUUGACUGCGAGCGUGACGGCGCGAGCAGGUGCGAAAGCAGGUCAUAGUGAUCCGGUGGUUCUGAAUGGAAGGGCCAUCGCUCAACGGAUAAAAGGUACUCCGGGGAUAACAGGCUGAUACCGCCCAAGAGUUCAUAUCGACGGCGGUGUUUGGCACCUCGAUGUCGGCUCAUCACAUCCUGGGGCUGAAGUAGGUCCCAAGGGUAUGGCUGUUCGCCAUUUAAAGUGGUACGCGAGCUGGGUUUAGAACGUCGUGACAGUUCGGUCCCUAUCUGCCGUGGGCGCUGGAGAACUGAGGGGGGCUGCUCCUAGUACGAGAGGACCGGAGUGGACGCAUCACUGGUGUUCGGGUUGUCAUGCCAAUGGCACUGCCCGGUAGCUAAAUGCGGAAGAGAUAAGUGCUGAAAGCAUCUAAGCACGAAACUUGCCCCGAGAUGAGUUCUCCCUGAGACUUAGAGUCUCCUGAAGGAACGUUGAAGACGACGACGUUGAUAGGCCGGGUGUGUAAGCGCAGCGAUGCGUUGAGCUAACCGGUACUAAUGAACCGUGAGGCUUAACCUU
rnacentral:rRNA from 1 species